UACGAAGGGUGCAAGCGUUACUCGGAAUUACUGGGCGUAAAGCGUGCGUAGGUGGUUUGUUAAGUCUGUUGUGAAAGCCCCGGGCUCAACCUGGGAAUGGCAAUGGAUACUGGCAGGCUAGAGUGCGGUAGAGGGUAGUGGAAUUCCCAGUGUAGUGGUGAAAUACGUAGAGAUUGGGAAGAACACCAGUGGCGAAGGCGGCUAUCUGGACGGUUGCUGACGCUAAGACGCGAAAGCGUGGGGAGCGAACAGG
rnacentral:rRNA from 1 species